rnacentral:tRNA from 1 species
AAAGCUUUAAGUUAAAAAAACUAUUAACCUUCAAAGUUAAAAAUAUAUUAUACAUAAGCUUUA